rnacentral:rRNA from 1 species
GACAGAGGCCUCAAGCGUUAGGCGGAAUCACUGGGCUUAAAGCGUGUGUAGGCGGAUCGUUAAGUGUCUUGUGAAAUCCCACGGCUCACCCGUGGAACUGCUGGGCAUACUGGCGAUCUUGGGCCAACUAGGGGCAACUGGAACAAGCGGUGGAGCGGUGAAAUGCGUAGAUAUCAGGAGGAACACCUGCGGUGUAGACGGCUUUCUGGACCAUUGCUGACGCUGAGACACGAAAGCGUGGGUAGCAAACAGG